CUUUUUCAUUUAGCAUGGAAAACUACUAUACACAUAGCUGAGCGAGAUUGUUGUGACUGUGCUGUGUUGUGCAGAAUGUAGUGCUAUCUAAUCCUAAGUAAAUUGACACUCUUCUAUAUAUUCGUGGCUCUCUAAAGCAAGGACAACAACUAGGAUUCUUUUUUACAAGCUCAGCACUCAACUUGCUAAAAAACACCACGUUACUCAUUCUGAUAAACUGACCAAUUCCAUUCAGCACAAAUGAGAUACACAUUCGCUAAGAAUUGCAAACAACAUCCAAUGUGUCGCUGUUUCUUGUGGUAGUUCACCGCUGAACACUCUCAAAGUUUCUGGAUGCCGAUACGAUAUGCAUGUGUAUCUCGAAACUGUAGCGAAUAAUAAUGGCCAUGACAUGACUUUGUACUUCUAUCCGCCCGUUCAUUAUGGAAGCAUUGUUCUACAUCAAACACUAAUUAAUCACGAAAUGGAGUAGGAAAAAAUGUCAUGGCAUGUAUACCGUCGUUGGUUGAGCGAUGGAGAACUUAUUCUCCUAAUUAAAUAGUAGGAGUCGCCGUUCAAUGUCAGACUCUGGAUGUCCAUGAAUAAAGUCGCAUCCGAACAAUUGCAUGGAGCAAACCAAUGCAUAUUUCACACACGUAUGGACAUAAAUGCUUGCUGACCAGAAGAAAUUGGACGUAUGAAAAUGGCCAGCUGGUCAGAAAUAAAAGUUCCAUUGACUUAACGAGGACGAAUUGAUACAUAAAAUAAAAGUCAUUACGUAUUAUACGAUUUAUGUUCAUAAAUUCAUGUUCAUGACUCGAGUUUGUGUCAUCCAAAAGUAGGAAAGCCGCAAAUUACAUGAAUAAACCACAGGGAAUAGAACAAUAUGAAACAUUUCGACAUUUUUAUACAGAAAUUGUUUGCAUAAAAAUAUUAUUUACGCAUGUUAUAUUGCUUAAUAUAAAUUUCUGCCACUAUUUUCAAGUUUAUUACCGAAAUAGCCGUCGAAAUUUUGUAGAUAAUAUCAUGCAGCCACCAAGAAUUUUAAUUCUGGAGAUUUUGCUACAACUUUCAGUGGGAGGAUCCCUGAUCCACGCUUGUGACCUAAACAAUUGUCCCUGUACUCAGAAUUAUAUUCCAUUCUGUGGGUCGGAUGGAUCCACCUACGUCAACCAUUGUCAGCUCAUCUGUGCUCAGAGACAUUGUGACUCAGAGCUGCGUGUGAAAUUUGAAGGCGUUUGUGCAAUCCCGUACAGUCGUCACACGGAUUGGGGCCUACCCACAUUUACGACCAAAUCCACACCACGCCCAUUUCCACCACCUUCGUGGUCCUCACCUUCCCCCAAAGGUCGAAGGACGACUGGGUUCCCAGCAACGAAUAAUAGACCGCGACCACUUCCGCUGACCACGACGAGGCGGACCGCUUCACCUCCACCUGCAACAGAACAAUAUGAUCUCAAGGAGGAAACAAGACCUUACUAUAACAUUGAUUGGAGAAAAUAAGCCACUUCUGAUACAGCAUUCCAAACAAAACUGCAAAUGAUAUCUGCAGUGAUAAAUAUACCCCUCUACACAUUAAUAAUUACGAGUAGUACAUACUUGCCAUACGUUUAUACAACAUUA